GCGGGAGUAGCUCAGUUGGUAGAGCGCUAGCCUUCCAAGCUGGAUGUCGCGGGUUCGAACCCCGUCUCCCGCUCCA
rnacentral:tRNA from 1 species